rnacentral:rRNA from 1 species
UACGUAGGGGGCAAGCGUUGUCCGGAUUUAUUGGGUCGUAAAGCGCGUGUAGGCGGCCAGGUAGGUCCGCUGAUGAAAACCCGGAGGCCUCAACCUCGGGACGUCGGCGGAAACCAUUUGGCUAGGAGUCCGGAAGAGGAGAGUGGAAUUCCCGGUGUAGCGGUGAAAUGACGCAGAGAUGUGGAGGAACACCAGUGGCGAAGG